UCUGCUCUGGUUCGGUGGCCUUCUUCUUU
rnacentral:piRNA from 1 species